CGUAGCUGCAUGAUCACUGCGGUUUGAGUAACCAUCCCUUGUGGAAACUGAGUGGAUGGCUUUGAUAAUUGUUAGAAAUGUACUUCUUUCCUUCCACUGCAUGCUUUUGCUUUCCAAACUUCAGAGUUUCGGCUAAUGUGACUGAACCCACCGUGCACAAGAGUUCAAAUUUAGCAGUCGUGCUAUCUUCUUAGAGCAGGAAGAGAAGUCCAGGGCUGGUGCAACUGACAAACCACAGCCAGAGACUCCAGGAGUUGCAAGCAGCGUGCUUCUGGGAAAGGGAUUGGUUAAAGGAACUGAGAAUGCUGGAAAAGCUUAAAUGUCUUCAGGGAAGCAAAAACUUGCUCUGGAGAGAGCUUGCAGCAUUUAAAACUCGACAUGGGAAUGACACAACCAAAAUCCUAGAGUGACAGCCUGCAUCUUUAGGAGAACAAUGCCAGCUGACUGAACAGUAAGACGCAAAGCAACAUGAUUUUAUCACUCAGGUAUACUGAUGAAAUUUUUUAGCAAUUUUCACUUUGUCGUUUAGAAAGCAGAGAGGAAAAGGGCACAGUUGUCUGGAGAAACAUUAUACGCAGCCGUAACACUACACUUUUGUCGACACUGUGUUUAAAAACUAGAAGAUUUGAAGAACUGAACUAUUGGCUAUCUACAUACUGUUAGCAACUGGCAGGACAAUAUGGCUAGUAGGCAUGGGACACUAAAAAAAUGUUUAGGACUGCAUUGAUGGUUAAAUCAUGUGAGCAAUUGGCUCCUUAUGCUGCAUGGGGAAUCUAUCAAGUGCCAUGAGAGAUCUUCAGAGGAAAAUCCUGCCUUGCAUCUAUGUCAUACAAUUAGUUUGUCCAAAGAAGGGCAACAAAGCUGGUGAAGGGUAUGGAGCACAGUCUUUUGGGGGUAGCUGAGGGAAUUGGGAUUGUUUAAUGUGAAGAAGAGAAGGCUCGGGGAGGCGUUACCACUCUCUACUAUUGUCUGAAAGGAAGCUGUAGCAUGGUGAGGGUUGUCCUCCCAAGCAUCUGGUGAUAGGACAAGAGGAAAUGGCCUCAAGCUGCAUCAGAGGAUGUUCAGGUUGGAUAUUAAGAAGAAUUUCUUCUCUAAAGGAGCGGUGAGGUAUUGGAACAGACUGCCCAGGGAAGUGGUGGAGUUACCAUCCCUGAAAGUGUUCACUUAAAGGGUAGAUACGGCAGUGAGGGAAAUGGCCUAGUGGACAUGGUGAUGCGUUGAUGGUUGGACUAGAUGAUGUUAGAGGUCUUAUCCAGCCUUGAUGAUUCUAUGAUUGGGAAUUAUGUCAUUUCUUUAGGAAAAGAAUUCCAUCCAUUUUUACUUAAAAUAAGAAAAAAUGCCUUUUUUAUUAAAGACAAACAAUGCAGUCA